rnacentral:lncRNA from 1 species
GGGAGGGCUAGCUUGUGUAACGACUUUUGGAUGGCUGAUCUAUCUUUCAUUUUCUGAUGUGCCAGACUCCUCCAAAUCUGAAGAAGGAUUAGGAGUAAUGUGUGGUGCAGGAAGAAGGAGAGAAAAACUCUUUCUCUCUUAGAUAUUUCCUCUUCCAAAACUCUAGAAUAGUUUUCUAGGAUGCUCACCCAAGAGGAAGUUCUCCUCUAUGC